CUCGGACUAAACCAACCGGUUGAAUAAUGGUACCAACCUCCAUGGGAGGAAGAUGAAAACUGCCAGGCUACCCUCGAUUAGAGCAUCCAUUUUCUCAUUAUCCCAUACCUAUGCCUCCCAGGGCUCACCAAAACAAAUCUUCCCGCAAAAUGAAGACCAACACAUUAUCCACCGCACCGCGUCCACACUAUCUUCAGUUCUUCAGCGUUACAUCAACUCGGAUAAUCCUUUUUAUGGCCAAAAGAUCCAUACCCUUAUUUUGAAAAGCGGUUUUAUACCAAAUACCAAUAUAUCAAUCAAACUCUUGAUUCUUCACUUGAAAAGUGGGUGUCUGGAGUAUGCACGCCAAAUGUUUGAUGAGUUGCCCCAACGGACUCUUUCAGCUUAUAAUUAUAUGGUUGCUGGGUAUUUGAAUCAAGGAUUAGUUGCAGAAUCGAUUAAUCUGGUACAUAGGUUGAUUCUUGACGGGGAAAGGCCUGAUGGGUAUACGUAUUCCAUGAUUUUGAAGGCAUCUACUAGCGGUGGUAAUGUGAUAUUGCCACCUAAUUCGGCAGGUGUGGUACAUGCUCAGAUAGUUAAAUCGUAUGUUGAACCUGAUGAUGUUCUUUCUACGGCGCUUGUUGACGCAUAUGUGAAGAGUGGGAGGGUUGGUUUGGCAAGGAGAGUUUUCGAUAUGAUGAUAGAAAAUAAUGUGAUAUGUUCAACGUCUAUGAUAUCUGGAUACAUGAACCAAGGCCUUCUAGAAAAUGCUGAAGAGAUUUUUGAAAAGACUGUUGAAAAAGAUGUAGUGGUUUUCAAUGCAAUGAUAGAAGGUUAUAGCAAAUCACUUGAAACGGCUCUUAAAGCGCUUGAUGUUUAUGUUGAGAUGCAACGAUUUGGCUUUAGGCCUAAUUUAUCGACUUUUGCAAGUGUCACUGGGGCUUGUUCUUUAUUGGCAGGAUUUGAGAUCGCUCAACAAGUCCAGGCUCAGCUUUUGAAGAGUGGGUUCUAUACUGACAUAAAAAUGGGUAGUGCUCUUAUAGACAUGUAUUCCAAAUGUGGAAGAAUUGAGGACGCACGAAGAGUUUUUGACCAUAUGCCUGAGAAGAAUGUGUUCUCGUGGACUUCCAUGAUUGACGGAUAUGGAAAGAUUGGAAUGCCUAAUGAAGCACUUGAGCUAUUUCAUAGCAUGCAACAAUGUCGUAUUGAGCCCAAUUAUGUUACAUUCCUUGGUUCUCUGUCUGCUUGUGCACAUGCUGGCUUAGUUGCUAAAGGUCGUGAGAUUUUUGAGAGCAUGGAGAGAGAUUACUCACUGAAACCAGGGAUGGAGCAUUAUGCUUGCAUGGUUGACUUGUUGGGGCGUGCGGGAAAUUUACAACUAGCUUGGGAAUUUGUUGCAGGGAUGCCUGAGAAGCCAAAUUCUGAUGUUUGGGCAGCUUUGCUUAGUUCAUGUAAUCUUCAUGGUAAUGUAGAGAUGGCGAGUAUAGCUGCCAAUGAACUUUUUAAGCUGAAUGCUGAAGGUCGGCCAGGUGCAUAUGUGGCGCUAUCUAAUACCUUGGCAGCUGCUGGGAAAUGGGAUGGUGUAAGUGAACUUAGGGAGAUAAUGAAGUCAAGAGGGAUAUUGAAAGAUACUGGCAGCAGUUGGAUUGGGACUGAAAGCUGUAGUGCAAGGCUUCAAAGGUUGCAAAAGUAGUAAACCAACCUUUUAAGUGAGAAAGGAUGAUUCAUUUCAAUUGCUUUUUACAGCAUUAUUCAUAUGAAUCAUUGAUCACAGCUCAUUUUGUUAUAAGUUCUUCAAGGUAUACGACGCUUUGCUCAGAAAAAUGUUCCACUUGUCAUUGAAGCUGCAAAAAAUACAUUGGUGAAGUUUACAUUAUCAGCUUGCUGUGGAUUAUAGCUUUGGAAUUAUAGGGUUUUAGAUGAAGUGAUGAAUAUCAGAUUAACACAGAUGAGUAGACAUCAAAUGUUGGGGUUUAGUGCAGAUUCUACAGAAGAAUAUUGGAUGAGGACCCAAAGAAAUCCCCUUCAAGUGAUAACAGGACUGUUGACCUUCAUGAUUUGGGUCCAGGUGCUCAAGACUUUAAGCUAAUAAGUUUGAUUGGGUUACCGUGGGAAUCUCAAGAGCAAGGAACUACAUGAAAUUUGACUUGGAAGAUCUUGCAGCAUGGAUCAGAGGGAGUUUAGCCAGCAUAGUUUGAAUCCAAAAAUUUAGGCAAUUAUCCAUUAAAGUCCAUGACCAUGAGAAGAUGAAAGGAAAGGUUUUUACUUAUCUCCUACUUGAUUUAUGCGACUGCAAUUAAUUGUAGUUCUCAUUUGGGGGAAAAGGGAGGAAGAGUAUGUCGAACGGGUGCAAGUAAUAUGGUUGCCUAAGCAAUAAAAAAGUUGCAGGGGCAAUAAUAAGCUUGUUCUAGACACAAUUCUAAGAUGUGCCCUGUAAAAGGGUGAUUUGAUUGUUUGCAUACCAUAAAUUGAUUCUGCCAAUUAUUUAGUUUUAAGUUAGUUUUAGGGGAGUCAUUGUUCUACACCGGGAAACAUCAUUUUCAGUCUAGACAUUAUUUUUUGGUUAAAAUUCAAUUUUGUCACCUUAAUUAAACCAUAGUUCAAUCUUUUCGUCUUGAACUCUUAUUGUAUUCAAGCCUUGAAUCAAUUAUUGCUUGAACAUACUUUUAGCAAACAGUAUGGGGUUGUUCUUCCUAUGUGGGACUCUUGUGAGAGGUUGGAAAGCUAUCACAUAAUUUUUUGGACCGAAAUGCCCCUUGUUUUUUUCAAAGAAAAGAAUCGACUAGCUCAACUGCCCAACGGCUCAACCUAAGGCGGCUGGGGCUAUAGCUAAUAACUGGACAAUUUGUCAACCCGGAUAUGCUGUUUGCAUUAGAUCACCUAAACUUUUGUCAACCAAAAGAAAAUAGAAUAUAAAUUAUAUC
rnacentral:misc_RNA from 1 species